AGAGCUUGCUCUCUUGGCGGCGAGUGGCGGACGGGUGAGUAAUAUAUCGGAACGUGCCCAGUAGCGGGGGAUAACUACUCGAAAGAGUGGCUAAUACCGCAUACGCCCUACGGGGGAAAGGGGGGGAUCGCAAGACCUCUCACUAUUGGAGCGGCCGAUAUCGGAUUAGCUAGUUGGUGGGGUAAAGGCUCACCAAGGCAACGAUCCGUAGCUGGUUUGAGAGGACGACCAGCCACACUGGGACUGAGACACGGCCCAGACUCCUACGGGAGGCAGCAGUGGGGAAUUUUGGACAAUGGGGGAAACCCUGAUCCAGCCAUCCCGCGUGUAUGAUGAAGGCCUUCGGGUUGUAAAGUACUUUUGGCAGAGAAGAAAAGGUAUCCCCUAAUACGGGAUACUGCUGACGGUAUCUGCAGAAUAAGCACCGGCUAACUACGUGCCAGCAGCCGCGGUAAUACGUAGGGUGCAAGCGUUAAUCGGAAUUACUGGGCGUAAAGCGUGUGUAGGCGGUUCGGAAAGAAAGAUGUGAAAUCCCAGGGCUCAACCUUGGAACUGCAUUUUUAACUGCCGAGCUAGAGUAUGUCAGAGGGGGGUAGAAUUCCACGUGUAGCAGUGAAAUGCGUAGAUAUGUGGAGGAAUACCGAUGGCGAAGGCAGCCCCCUGGGAUAAUACUGACGCUCAGACACGAAAGCGUGGGGAGCAAACAGGAUUUAGAUACCCUGGUAGUCCACGCCCCAAACGAUGUCAACUAGCUGUUGGGGCCGUUAGGCCUUAGUAGCGCAGCUAACGCGUGAAGUUGACCGCCUGGGGAGUACGGUCGCAAGAUUAAAACUCAAAGGAAUUGACGGGGACCCGCACAAGCGGUGGAUGAUGUGGAUUAAUUCGAUGCAACGCGAAAAACCUUACCUACCCUUGACAUGUCUGGAAAGCCGAAGAGAUUUGGCCGUGCUCGCAAGAGAACCGGAACACAGGUGCUGCAUGGCUGUCGUCAGCUCGUGUCGUGAGAUGUUGGGUUAAGUCCCGCAACGAGCGCAACCCUUGUCAUUAGUUGCUACGCAAGAGCACUCUAAUGAGACUGCCGGUGACAAACCGGAGGAAGGUGGGGAUGACGUCAAGUCCUCAUGGCCCUUAUGGGUAGGGCUUCACACGUCAUACAAUGGUCGGGACAGAGGGUCGCCAACCCGCGAGGGGGAGCCAAUCUCAGAAACCCGAUCGUAGUCCGGAUCGCAGUCUGCAACUCGACUGCGUGAAGUCGGAAUCGCUAGUAAUCGCGGAUCAGAAUGUCGCGGUGAAUACGUUCCCGGGUCUUGUACACACCGCC
rnacentral:rRNA from 1 species